rnacentral:rRNA from 1 species
AUUGAACGCUGGCGGCAUGCCUUACACAUGCAAGUCGAACGGCAGCACGGGUGCUUGCACCUGGUGGCGAGUGGCGAACGGGUGAGUAAUACAUCGGAACAUGUCCUGUAGUGGGGGAUAGCCCGGCGAAAGCCGGAUUAAUACCGCAUACGAUCUACGGAUGAAAGCGGGGGACCUUCGGGCCUCGCGCUAUAGGGUUGGCCGAUGGCUGAUUAGCUAGUUGGUGGGGUAAAGGCCUACCAAGGCGACGAUCAGUAGCUGGUCUGAGAGGACGACCAGCCACACUGGGACUGAGACACGGCCCAGACUCCUACGGGAGGCAGCAGUGGGGAAUUUUGGACAAUGGGCGAAAGCCUGAUCCAGCAAUGCCGCGUGUGUGAAGAAGGCCUUCGGGUUGUAAAGCACUUUUGUCCGGAGAGAAAUCCUUGGCUCUAAUACAGUCGGGGGAUGACGGUACCGGAAGAAUAAGCACCGGCUAACUACGUG